UACGGGGGGGGUAAGCGUUGUUCGGAAUUACUGGGCGUAAAGGGCGCGUAGGCGGCACUGUUAGUCAGGCGUGAAAUUCCUGGGCUCAACCUGGGGACUGCGCUUGAUACGGCAGAGCUUGAGGAUGGAAGAGGGUCGCGGAAUUCCCAGUGUAGAGGUGAAAUUCGUAGAUAUUGGGAAGAACACCGGUGGCGAAGGCGGCGACCUGGUCCAUUACUGACGCUGAGGCGCGACAGCGUGGGGAGCAAACAGG
rnacentral:rRNA from 1 species